UACGGAGGGAGCUAGCGUUGUUCGGAAUUACUGGGCGUAAAGCGCACGUAGGCGGAUUGUUAAGUCGGGGGUGAAAGCCUGUGGCUCAACCACAGAAUUGCCUUCGAUACUAGUUGGCUUGAGACCGGAAGAGGUAAGUGGAACUGCGAGUGUAGAGGUGAAAUUCGUAGAUAUUCGCAAGAACACCAGUGGCGAAGGCGGCUUACUGGUCCGGUUCGUGACGCUGAGGCGCGAAAGCGUGGGGAGCAAACAGG
rnacentral:rRNA from 1 species